GCCUGGGUGGCUCAACGGUUGGGCGCCUGCCUUUGGCUCAGGUUGUGAUACCGGGUGUGGGAUCGGGUCCCACAUUGGGCU
rnacentral:tRNA from 1 species